GCCCGAGGGAAGUGAGAAGUGCUGCGGGAGAGGACACUCAGUGUCUGCCAGCUUCUGGCGGACACUGCUCUGAUGGACAAAAAGUAGAGACAAGAAUAUUCUCAGAAUUUCAGCCUUCUAUCAAACUCAAAAAUCUGAAGAACUAGGGAAGCUAUUUAAGACUAUCAUGAUUGUAGUGGAUAUAUGGAGAAGCAGUCAGAACUGGGAACCAGGACUACAGCUCUCAGAUCUCCGUCCUGCCAGUGGUGUGAGGGUCUCAGAAAAAAAUUGAAAUCUUGAUGAUCUGUAGAGAUAUUCACCACAAUAUUAUUUACAAAUGAAAACAAUUUAGCCAGCAAAAGACAGGCUAUAUAUUCUGUUUUCUCCCCUUUGGAGUAAAGAUGAAUGAGAAAUACCAUGGCCUACAGAGGUUACUCUCAACCUCCUGAAUCUAAAAGCAUCCGAGGAAGAUAAGGAAUCUUUGGACACAUGGAAUCUGCAAAAAAGAGUUUCUGUACCAUAAUG